UGGCCAUAGUGGGGGUCCCUAUGGGGGUCCCCAUGGCCAUGGCCAUGGUGGGGGUCCCCAUGAUGAUGGUGGGGGUCCCUAUGGGGGUCCGUAUGGGGGUCCCCAUGUUGAUGGCCAUGGUGGGGGUCCCCAUGGCCAUAGUGGGGGUCCCUAUGGGGGUCCCCAUGGCUGUGGUGGGGGUCCCUAUGGGGGUCCCCAUGUUGAUGGUGGGGGUCCCUAUGGGGGUCCCCAUGGCCAUAAUGGGGGUCCGUAUGGGGGUCCCCAUGUUGAUGGCCAUGGUGGGGGUCCCCAUGGCCAUAGUGGGGGUCCCUAUGGGGGUCCCCAUGGUGGGGGUCCCCAUGUGAGUGUCCAUGCUGGGGGUCUUCGUGUUGGUGCCCACGACUAAACAUGGCCGUCAAGGUGUGGCCGUGGCCGCUGUCCACAUGGAGCUGGUGCUGACCAUGGCCGAGGUCCUCCCGGUGAUGGCCGAGGUCCUCCCGGUGAUGGCCGAAGUCCUCCCGGUGAUGGCGGAAGUCCUCCCGGUGAUGGCGGAAGUCCUCCUGGUGAUGGCGGUCCCCGUGAGAGGCGGAAGGGAGGAGGCAGAGAGCCAGAGUGGCGGCCAUGAUGGCGGCCAUGUUGGAGGCCGCUGGUUCCCGGGGCUGGAGGACCGUCGCCAUUGAAGCUGUGGGGGGAGAUCUGCCAUUGGGGUCAAUGGUGGGACUAUAGAGAUGGGGGAGAUAGAGCGGCUAUGGGGGGAGAUCUGCCAUUGGGAUCAAUGGUGGGAUCAUAGAGAUGGGGGAGAUAGAGCGGCUAUGGGGAGAGAUCUGCCAUUGGGGUCAAUGGUGGGAUCAUAGAGAUGGGGGAGAUAGAGCGGCUAUGGGGGGAGAUCUGCCAUUGGG
rnacentral:lncRNA from 1 species